rnacentral:pre_miRNA from 1 species
UUACUACUCCCUUCGUUCCAAAUUAUUUAUCUUAGAUUUGUCUAGAUACGGAAGUAUUUAGCACUAAAAUAAGUCUAGAUACAUCUAUAUCUAGACAAAUCCAAGACAAGUAAUUCGGAACGGAGGGAGUACAAA